rnacentral:rRNA from 1 species
UACGAAGGGGGCUAGCGUUGCUCGGAAUCACUGGGCGUAAAGCGCACGUAGGCGGAUCGUUAAGUCGGGGGUGAAAUCCUGGAGCUCAACUCCAGAACUGCCUUCGAUACUGGCGAUCUUGAGUCCGGAAGAGGUGAGUGGAACUCCUAGUGUAGAGGUGGAAUUCGUAGAUAUUAGGAAGAACACCAGUGGCGAAGGCGGCUCACUGGUCCGGUACUGACGCUGAGGUGCGAAAGCGUGGGGAGCAAACGGGG